rnacentral:rRNA from 1 species
GGGGAAUUUUCCGCAAUGGGCGCAAGCCUGACGGAGCAAUACCGCGUGGAGGAUGACACCUUUCGGGGCGUAAACUCCUUUUCUGGGGGACGAUAAUGACGGUACCCCAGGAAUAAGCACCGGCUAACUACGUGCCAGCAGCAGCGGUAAUACGUAGGGUGCAAGCGUUAACCGGAAUUACUGGGCGUAAAGCGUGCGUAGGUGGUUUCACAAGUCUAUUGUUAAAGCCCAGUGCUUAACAUUGGAAGCGCAAUGGAGACUGUGUGACUAGAGAGGAUGAGAGGUAAGCGGAAUUCCCGGUGUAGCGGUAAAAUGCAUUGAUAUCGGGAGGAACACCAGAAGCGAAGGCGGCUUACUAGCAUCUUUCUGACGCUAAGGCACGAAGGCUAGGGUAGCAAAAGGGAUUAGAUACCCCUGUAGUC